GCGCAGAGUAGAAGCGUUCAGCCCGGCAUCCCGGUCUUGGUGCCCGCGGCGGGAAAUUGCUCUUUCA
rnacentral:ncRNA from 1 species